rnacentral:lncRNA from 1 species
UUAUGUACCACUUGUAGAGCAAGUUGUUCAUUUCUUUGGUCCAUACAAUAAUUGCAAUCCGUACGUGUCCCCUCACACCUUCAAUUUAUGCAUUCAAAAUCUUAUUAUAAAUACAGCCCAAAAAUGCAUUAGUUUCUUCAUCCCUCAAUUUUCAUAUUUCAUAAGUACUAAGCUUUGAAACAAAAAUAAAAGAAUUAAGAAGAAUGGGUUCCAAGGCAAUUAUGUUUCUUGGUCUUUUUUUGGCUAUUUUCUUAAUGAUAAGCUCUGAGGUUGCAGCUAGGGAGUUGGCAGCUGAGACUUCCAAUGGUAAGCAUUUCUUUUCAUUUGUUCCCUCUCUUAGGGUAUGUUCGAUAAAAAAAAAUAUUUUUCAUGAAAAAUAUUUUGUAAGAAAAUAUAAGUGACUUCUUUAUUUACUUUUUUGUGUUCAAUAUCGUGAUAUAAUCUAGACAGAUAUAUAAUUGGUGGGGUUGGAUGGUGACGGUGGGAUGAAGAUGGGGCGAAGAUAAAUAUGUUUGAUCAUAAAAUUUGUCUACUUUUUGAAAAUUAUUUGAAACAAAAUCCCAAAAUUUCAAUCACUAAUGCUGUAGUUUGAUCAUGACACUUAAUAUAUAUUCUUUUUGUUUCAUGUUAUACGUCUCAAUUACUAUGCAUAAAGUAUAAGAAUAUACCAUAAACUUCCCAAACUUUGCUAAACUAAACUAAAGGUAUGUAAAUUAUAUUAUAAAUGCCCUAUGAGUUUUGUGAUCUUAUGUUACAUUGAAAUUAAAAAAAUUACAAUUAAAUAUAUAUAGGAAGAGGAGUACUCAUUUUGAAAUAUAAUAAAAAGGAAAGUACGACAUAUAAAUUGAAGUGCAAUUCAAAGACUAGUAAUGACUCAUCGUACGUGUUAGCUAGUUUAAUUAAUCUUCACAAUUCAUCGAUGCAGCGGUAAACGUUGAUGGACAUUAUUAUGGAGGCGGCUAUGGUAAGGGCCAUGGAAAACCUAAGAAAUGUUAUAGUUGCUGCAAGAAAUACAAAUAUGGAUGCAAAAAAUACUGCUGCUCUUAUGAAGAAUAUGUGGCUGCCCAGACUCACAACUAAAUAAUUAAUUAUUAUUGUAAACUUUUGAAAUUAAGUGACAAGAUACUAAUAAUCUUGCUACUUAAGACCCUUUGCUUGUAACAAGUAUGAAUAAAGCCAUUCAUUUACAAUGAAUGGUUGGUCAUGAUGUAAUGUUUUGUUGUACAAUAUAUCAUAUUGUGUUAAAAAUGUUUCCCUAAUGUUAAGAUUUUCUUCUUAUUUUUACUUAAGUAUUCUAUCAUCCCUUAAUCAUAUGUUUCAAGAUUGAAUCCUGGUCCGAAUAUAGAAUUGUCUUUGUUACAUAGUAUUUUACUCUAUUUGAAUUUUUUACCGUGAAUCCAAUUUAUUUAAGGCAUCUCUAAUUAAGGAUAUUGAACAUUGAGGGGAAAUUUUAAAAUAUUUAAUUUUCUUGUUAUUUAAUAAAGUAAGGAAAACAAUGCAGAAAAAAAGAAACAAUUUGUUCUUUUCUUUGUAUAAUAUUUAAAAAAAUAUAAUCACAGAAGAAAUAAAAUUAAAGCAUGGGGGACAAACGACUAAUAAUGUCAAAUCAUCACUUAUUUUUUUAUUUCUAAUGAACACUUUAGUCAGGGCUGAAAUCGAAAUUUUAUGAAAACAUCACAACAUAUAAACAAAAAUGAACACAUGAGUAAAUUUUAAUGAUUCAAUAUAUGAUACAAUGUAGUAGCUUUUUUCGACGAAGGAGAGUCAAUUAACAAUAUUAGAUAAGGAUGGUUACAUCAUUAAUAUUCACGAUCACCAUUAAGGGCGUAUUUACCUUAAGCUCGCAAUAUAUAUAUGCAACGUCAACCAAAUAACUCACAUUAGGGGUGUACAAAAAUGAACCGAAAACCGAAUUAAACCGCAAAUCGAGAAAAAAAAAUCCGACUAGUGGUUGGUUUGACUUGGUUUGGUAUUGAAAAAAAAACCCAACUAUAUUUGGGUUGGUUUGGUUUUAACUAAAAAAAACCAACCCGAGACCAAACCAACACGUCAUUAUAUAUAUAAUUUUAAAAUUUAUUUUAUAUUUUAUACAUAAAAAUAUUUACUUUGAAAUAAUUUUUAAAUCUUUCUUAUACUUUUUCAUAGUUUUUAUCUUUUAAUAUAUUAUUNNNNNNNNNNNNNNNNNNNNNNNNNNNNNNNNNNNNNNNNNNNNNNNNNNNNNNNNNNNNNNNNNNNNNNNNNNNNNNNNNNNNNNNNNNNNNNNNNNNNNNNNNNNNNNNNNNNNNNNNNNNNNNNNNNNNNNNNNNNNNNNNNNNNNNNNNNNNNNNNNNNNNNNNNNNNNNNNNNNNNNNNNNNNNNNNNNNNNNNNNNNNNNNNNNNNNNNNNNNNNNNNNNNNNNNNNNNNNNNNNNNNNNNNNNNNNNNNNNNNNNNNNNNNNNNNNNNNNNNNNNNNNNNNNNGAAAACAAAAAUACAGAAUGAUUAUUAUGAAAAAAAUAAGUGAACAAAUGGGGUUCUUUUGUAUAUUUUAUUUUUUGUUAUUGCUGAAUUUGCCGAACUUUUACAGCUUGUUUGAGUACUUGUUACCUAUAUAGUUGUAUUUUGGUGGCGAAAUGGUCUAAUAGACCCCUGUACUUGUAUGAGUUUGUAUUGUGAACCCUUCUACUUAACUCUUUAUCAAUUGAACCCUUAAACUUAUAAAACACAAUUUAUCAAACCCCUCUGACCAUUGACUAGGCUUAUGUGGCAUCAAUAUGGUUGAGUUGGCAAGAGUGUGUGAAUUCACUCUCGUUAAGGCGAGUGAUAUCCUAUUUAAGUUUUAAAAAAUAUUAAAAAAUUAAAAAAAAAUAAAACAAUAAAACAAAAAAACUUUAAAAAAAAUAACUAAAAAAGGCUUUCUUCUUCCGCCAACAGGUUCACAUCCAUUUUUGGCCAUCUCCAUCCCUGUCCAAUCCAUUUUUCUUUCUUCUUCACACUCUUGUCAUCUUCUUUAGCAGAUCUUCGCAUUGGCACCUAGAGAGAGACGACGCAGGUCAGUGGAAGAAGAACGAGGCGGUUGAGGGUAGGAUCUGGUCACGACAGCGAAGAGGUUUUUCGGUCAGAUCUGGUGGCCAUGGUGCGACGGAGAUGAAGACGGGUGAGGAAGAGGGCACGUAUGGUCGCCGGCAAGAGUUGCGACGACGACUGAGACGGCGGCGAGGAGCCUCCUAGAAUAUUUGUAUGCCGGAGACAGUAAGGGGUUUCUUGGCCUUCUGAUACUCCGGAGAGGAUGAAGAGCAUAUCGGUCGGUGAUGGUGAGGGGAGAGAAGCUAGUGCGGUGGCUUAGGGUUUCUAGAUUUGUGGAGGUUAGAGAAGGAGAAAAGAAAAUGGUAAGGGUGUGCGAUGAAGAUGGAGGUUGGUGGGGAGAUCGUAUUUGUGGUCUCGCCGGCAAGAGGAGCGGCAACAGCAGCGACUUUUUCCGACAGUUGGGCCAUUUCACGGUGAAAAUGGAAGAUGAUGUGAGGAGACCCAAACUUUUAAUUUAAAAUAAUAAAUUAAAAUUUAAUUUGUCAAAAUUACAUCAAAACUUUAUGAUUUUUCUUUUGUUAAAAAAGAAAUUAUUAUAUAAAAAAAAAAUGAUGUGGCAAAUUUUAUCUGACAUAGCGUAUGACAUUAGCGUGAUUGAGAAUCACGAUGAGUUGAAAGGGUUCAAUAGGUUGAGUUUAGAUGGGUUCAGGGGUCCAUAUGACAAAGAGGUAAGUAGAAGAAUUCACAAUACAAACGCAUACAAGUACAAGGGUCCACCAGAUCAUUUUGCCUAUUUUGGUAGGACUAAAGAAAUAUUUGAAGUACAAGUAAAUUAUAUGUUCGUAUGAAUACUUUACCGGAAAAACCCGAAAAAUCCGAGGUUGAAAAACCCGAGUUUUAUUGAUUUGGUUUGGUUUAUAGAUUUAAAAAUUCAACACAAAUGGUUGGAUUUGAUAAUUGAAAAAUCCGAACCAACCCGGUCAUGUACACCCCUAACUCACAUGAUUAUGAAUCAAGGAAAAGAAUAAAUAAUUUUCGUCAUGUUGUGCAAAAAUAUAUAUUUCUAAUCUUAUUAAUAUUAGGUUAGGGGGAAACCUUUUUUGGGUUAUUUAUUAUUUCUAUCUAUAUUUUGUGUAUAUAUAUAAAAAAAAAAUUGCAUAAUAUAUAAACGUAUCCUUUAAUUUGGUCUCAACUGACAUCUAGCCCUCCAACUUUGGAUGUGCACAAGUAGGGACUUAAACUUGUAUAGAGUUGAACAAGUAGACACACUAGUCCUACGUGACAUAAUACGCAUAGGACACCAUGUACGACACAAAUUAUCAUGUAGGACAUGUAUAUCUACUUGUUCUAUUAUAUAUAAACUUAAGUGUUUACCAUUAGUACACAUCCAAAAUUAAAGGUUAUAAAUAUCGAUUAAGGUCAAAAUAAAAUAAUAUUUUCAUGUAUUAUACUUGUUUUUUUAGAAGACUUUUCUUGAGUUAUAAAGCAAUAAAGAGAGUUGGCCCCUCUUAUUUAACUUGAUACGUUGUACAUUAAAAGAGUCAUUAAAUACGUCAUUUAAAGUCUUUGAGUAUUGACCAAAUCCAAGAGUAUAUAUACACCACUAUUUCUAGAUAUUUUAGGAUAAGGUAGUCCUACAAGUUAGCAUAUUUUAAAUUACUUUUUUGCAUAACUAUCCAAAAAUAUACUAUUAACACGACGAUUUAUUAUCGAAAUAUAUAAUACCCAUCACAUGCAUAUUAUUUUUUAAAGUUAUUUUAAUGUUUGAUUUUCUACUAAGUAUUAAUCUUUGUUUUUAGUUUGUUUUGUCGGAUGGUGUACGUAAGCCACUUGGUCAUAUUGAUGUGAUAUAUUUACAAAUAUUUUUUCGAAAAAAUAAGUAAAUUUUUAUCUAUUCUUAUGUUUUUUUAUAGGGAAAAAGUCUGAAAUAUAUUCGAACUUUAGCCAUUCUACUUAAUUUUACUAAUGGUGUUAUAGUAUUAACGUAUGUACUUGUGCCUUUCUACUUUUACUAAUGGUGUUUUGAUUAUUUUUAACUUUUAAUUUGAUUAUUUUGAAUAUUUAAGAUUUGUAAAAUACAAACAGAUACAAUUUAUAAAUAUUAUGUUUUUUUCAUCUUAACAAAAUAUUACUUACGACUCCACCAUAAAAUCAACACUCUAUUUAUCUACCACUUGUAGAGCAAGUUGUUCAUUUCUUUGGUCCAUACAUAAUUGCAAUCCGUAUAUGUAUCCCCUCACACCUCUAAUUAUUUAUGCAUUCAAAUCUUAUUAUAAAUAGAGCCCAAAAAUGCAUUAGUUUCUUCAUCCCUCAAUUUUCAUAUUUCAUAAGUACUAAGUUUUGAACAAAAGAAAAAUUAAAAAGAAUGGGUUCCAAGGCAAUUAUGUUUCUUGGUCUUUUUUUGGCUAUUUUCUUAAUGAUAAGCUCUGAGGUUGCAGCUAGGGAGUUGGCAGCUGAGACUUCCAAUGGUAAGCAUUUCUUUUCAUUUGUUCCCUCUCUUAGGGUGUGUUCGAUAAAAAAAAAAUGUUUUCAUGAAAAAUAUUUUGUAAGAAAAUAUAAGUGACUUCUUUAUUUACUUUGUUGUGUUUAAUAUUGUGAUAUAAUCUAGAUAAAUAUAUAAUUGGUGGGGUUGGAUGAUGACGGUGGGAUGAGGAUGGGGGAAGAUAAAUAUGUUUGAUCAUAAAAUUUGUCUACUUUUUGAAAAUUAUUGGAAACGAAAUCCCAAAAUUUCAAUUAAUAAUGCUAUAGUUUGAUCAUGACACUAAAUAUACAUUCCUUUUGUUUCAUUUUAUAUGUCUCAAUUACUAUGCAUAAAGUUUAAGAAUAUACCAUAAACUUUCCAAUCUUUGCUAAACUAAACUAAAGGCGUGUAAAUUAUAUUAUAAAUGUCCUAUGAAUUUUGUGAUCUUAUGUUACAUUGGAAUUAAAAAAAUUAAUUACAAUUAAAUAUAUAUAGUUAAUGGAGUACUCAUUUUGAAAUAUAAUAAAAAGGAAAGUACGACAUAUAAAUUGAAGCUCAAUUCAGAGACUAGUCAUAACUCAUCGUACGUGUUAGCUAGUUUAAUUAAUCUUCACAAUUCAUCGAUGCAGCGGUAAACGUUGAUGGACAUUAUUAUGGCGGUGGCUAUCACGAGGGCUAUGGAAAACCUAAGAAAUGUCAUAGUUGCUGCAAAAAAUACAAUAUGGAUGCAUAAAAUACUGCUGCUCUUAUGAAGAAUAUGUGGCUGCCCAGACUCACAACUAAAUAAUUAAUUGUGUGUAUUAUUAUUGUAAACUUUUGAAAUUAAGUGACAAGAUAAUAAUAAUCUUGUUACUUAAGACCCUUUGCUUGUAACAAGUAUGAAUAAAGCCAUUCAUUUACUAUGAAUGGUUGGUCAUGAUGUAAUGUUUUGUUGUACAAUAUAUCAUAUUGUGUUAAAAAAUGUUUCCCUAAUGUUAAGAUUUUCUUCUUAUUUUUACUUUAAGUAUUAUAUUCUAUCAUCCUUUAAUCAUAUAUUUCAGGAUUGAAUCCUGAUCCGAAUAUAGAAUUGUCUUUGUUACAUAGUGUUUUACUUGAUCUGAAUUUUUUAACGUGAAUCCAAUUUAUUUAAGGCAUCUCUAAGGAUAUUGAACAUCGAGGGGAAAAUUUAAAAUAUUUAAUUUUCUUGUUAUUUAAUAAAGUAAGGAAAACAAUGCAGAAAAAAGAAACAAUUUGUUCUUUUCUUUGUCUAAUAUUUUUUAAAAGUAUAAUCACAGAAGAAAUAAAAUUAAAGCAUGGGGGACAAAAGACUAAUAAUGUCAAAUCAUCACUUAUUUUUUGAUUUCUAAUGAACACUCUAGUCAGGGCUGAAAUCGAAAUUUUAUGAAAACAUCACAAUAUAAACAAAAAUAAACACAUGAGUAAAUUUUAAUGAUUCAAUAUAUGAUACAAUGUAGUAACUUUUUUCGACGAAGGAGAGUCAAUUAACACUCUUAGAUAAGGAUGGUUACAUCAUUAAUAUUCACGAUCACCAUUAGGGGCGGAUUUACCUUAAGCUCGCAAUGCCAUCUAGCUAUUAGUCAUGCAUGGAAAAUAAAUUUUCUUAUGCACAUGAUCAACUAAAUAAAUAUCGUAUUAUUUAGAAAAGAUUUAUAUAUAUAUAUGCAACAUCAACCAAAUAACUCACAAUCUCACAUGAUUAUUAAUCAGGGAAAAGAUUAAAUAAUUUUCGUCAUGUUGUGCAAAAAUAUAUAUUUCUAAUCUUAUUAAUAUUAGGUUAGGGGGGGAAACCGUUUUUUUGGGUUAUUUAUUAUUUCUAUCUAUAUUUUGUGUAUAUAUAUAAAAAAAAAUUAGCAUAAAAUAUAAACGUAUCCUUUAAUUUGGUCUCAACUGACAUCUAGCCCUCCAACUUUGGAUGUGCACAAGUAGAGACUUAAACUUGUAUAGAGUUGAACAAGUAGACACACUAAUCCUACAUGACAUAAUACGUGUAGGACCGCAUGUACGACACAAAUUAUCAUGUAGAACAUGUGUGUUUACUUAUUCUAUUAUAUAUAAAGUUAAGUGUUUACCAUUAGUACACAUUCAAAAUUAAAGGUUAUAAAUAUCGGUUAAGGUCAAAAUAAAAUAAUAUUUUCAUGUAUUAUACUUGUUUUUUUAGUAAGACUUUUCUUGAGUUAUAAAGCAAAUGAAGAGAGUUGGCCCCUCUUAUUUAACUUGAUACGUUGUACAUUAAAUACGUCAUUUAAAGUCUUUGAGUAUUGACCAAAUCCAAGAGUAUAUAUACACCACUAUUUCUAGAUAUUUUAGGAUAAGGUAGUCCUACAUGUUAGCAUAUUUUAAAUUACUUUUUUGCAUAACUGUCCAAAAAUAUACUAUUAACACGACGAUUUAUUAUCGAAAUAUAUAAUACCCAUCACAUGCAUAUUAUUUUUUAAAGUUAUUUUAAUGUUGUUUGAUUAUCUACUAAGUAUUAAUCUUUGUUUUUAGUUUGUUUUGUCGGACGGUGUACGUAAGCCACUUGGUCAUAUUGAUGUGAUAUAUUUACAAAUAUCUUUUCGAAAAAAUAAGUAAAUUUUUAUCUAUUCUUAUUUUUUUUAUAGGGAAAAAAGACUGAAAUAUAUACAAACUUUGGCCAUUCUACUUUUAAUAAUGGUGUUAUAGUAUUAACGUAUGUACUUGUGCCUCUCUACUUUUACUAAUGGUGUUUCGAUAUUUUUAACUUUUAAUUUGAUUAUUUUGAAUAUUUAAGAUUUGUAAAAUACAAACAAAUACAAUUUAUAAAUAUUAUGUUUUUUUCAUCUUAACAAAAUAUUACUUACGACUCCACCAUAAAAUCAACACUCUAUUUAUCUGCCACUUGUAGAGCAAGCUCAUUUCUUUGGUCCAUAAAAUAAUUGCAAUCCGUACAUGUGUCCCCUCACACCUCUAAUUAUUUAUGCAUUCAAAUCUUAUUAUAAAUGAGCCCAAACAUGCAUUAGUUUCUUCAUCCCUCAAUUUUCAUAUUUCAUAAGUACUAAGUUUUGAACAAAAGAAAAAUUAAAAAGAAUGGGUUCCAAGGCAAUUAUGUUUCUUGGUAUUUUUUUGGCUAUUUUCUUAAUGAUAAGCUCUGAGGUUGCAGCUAGGGAGUUGGCAGCUGAGACUUCCAAUGGUAAGCAUUUCUUCUCAUUUGUUCCCUCUCUUAGGGUGUGUUCGAUAAAAAAAAAUGUUUUUCAUGAAAUAUAUUUUGUAAGAAAAUAUGAAUGACUUCUUUAUUUACUUUUUUGUGUUCAAUAUUGUGAUAUAAUCUAGACAGAUAUAUAAUUGGUGGGGUUGGAUGGUGAGGGUGUGGGGAUGAGGAUGGGGGCGAAGAUAAAUAUGUUUGGUCAUAAAAUUUGUCUACUUUUUAAAAAUUAUUGGAAACCAAAUCCAAAAAUUUCAAUCACUAAUGCUAUAGUUUGAUCAUGACAUUUAAUAUACAUUCCUUUUGUUUCAUUUAAUAUAUGUCUCAAUUACAAGGCAUAAACCUUCCAAUCUUUGCUAAACUAAACUAAAGGUGUGUAAAUUAUAUUAUAAAUGUCCUACGAAUUUUGUGAUCUUUUGUUACAUUGAACUUAAAAAAUAUACAAUUAAAUAUAUAUAGGAAAAGGAGUACUCAUUUUGAAAUAUAAUAAAAAGGAAAGUACGACAUAUAAAUUGAAGCUCAAUUCAGAGACUAGUCAUGACUCAUCGUAUGUGUAAGCUAGUUUAAUUAAUCUUCACAAUUCAUCGAUGUAGCGGUCAACGUUGAUGGACAUUAUCAUGGUGGCGGCUAUGGUAAGGGCUAUGGAAAACCUAAAAAAUGUUAUAGUUGCUGCAAGAAAACCAAAUAUGGAUGCAAAAAAUACUGCUGCUCUUAUGAAGAAUAUGUGGCUGCCCAGACUCACAACUAAAUAAUUAAUUGUGUGUAUUAUUAUUGUAAACUUUUGAAAUUAAGUGACAAGAUAAUAAUAAUCUUGCUACUUAAGACCCUUUGCUUGUAACAAGUAUGAAUAAAGCCAUUCAUUUACUAUGAAUGGUUGGUCAUGAUGUAAUGUUUUGUUGUACAAUAUAUCAUAUUGUGUUAAAAAUGUUUCCCUAAUGUUAAGAUUUCCUUCUUAUUUUUACUUAAGUAUUCUAUCAUCCUUUAAUCAUAUGUUUCAGGAUUGAAUCCUGAUCCGAAUAUAAAAUCGUCUUUAUUACAUAGCUUUUACUCGAUCUGAAUUUUUUACCGUGAAUCCAAUUUAUUUAAGGCAUCUCUAAUUAAGGAUAUUGAACAUUGAGGGGAAAAAUUUAAAAUAUUUAAUUUUCUUGUUAUUUAAUAAAGUAAGGAAAACAAUGCAGAAAAAAGAAACAAUUUGUUCUUUUCUUUGUAUAAUAUUUUUUAAAAAUAUAAUCACAGAAGAAAUAAAAUUAUAGUAUGGGGGACAAAAGACUAAUAAUGUGAAAUCGUCACUUAUUUUUUUGAUUUCUAAUGAACACUCUAGUCAGGGCUGAAAUCGAAAUUUUAUGAAAACAUCACAACAUAAACAAAAAUAAACACAUGAGUAAAUUUUACUGAUUCAAUAUAUGAUACAAUGUUGUAGCUUUUUUCGACGAAGGAGAAUCAAUUAACACUCUUAGAUAAGGAUGGUUACAUCAUUAAUAUUCACGAUCACCAUUAGGGGCGGAUUUACCUUAAGCUCGCAAUGCCAUCUAGCUAUUAGUCAUGCAUGGAAAAUAAAUUUUCUUAUGCACACGAUCAACUAAAUAAAUAUCGUAUUAUUUAGAAAAGAUUUAUGUAUAUAUAUAUAUAUAUAUAUGCAACGUCAACCAAAUAACUCACAAUCUCACAUGAUUAUGAAUCAGGGAAAAGAUUAAAUAUUUUUCGUCAUGUUGUGCAAAAAUAUAUAUUUCUAAUCUUAUUAAUAUUAGGUUAGGGGGGUAAACCUUUUUUUGGGUUAUUUAUUAUUUCUAUCUAUAUUUUGUGUAUAUAUAUAUAUAAAAAAAUUGCAUAAUAUAUAAACGUAUCCUUUAAUUUGGUCUCAACUGACAUCUAGCCCUCCAACUUUGGAUGUGCACAAGUAGAGACU